rnacentral:lncRNA from 1 species
UUAAAGGCAUGUAUAGGUUUGAUAGAAAUCCGUGAAAGUUUGCUGCAGAAUUGUGUUGUCUUGUAAGAGCAGAAUUAUCGUCGAAGAAACAGUAGUUUCUCGACGAAAUCUCCAUAAAAAUUUGAGAGAUUUGAGGAGGAAAUUGACAGCAAUAUCUCAGUUUAUAUGACAGCAAGGAUGUCCAAUUUAAUCAAGAAAAUUUCGGCAGUAACAGCAAGAAAAUUGGUGUAAGUUGCGAUAGCAGAAUUCUCGUCAAAAAAUUUCAGCAACUUACGAUGAAAAUUUACAGCAAUAUAGGAACAAUUUUUUUUUUUUUUUUGGAUUUUCGAAUAGGGAUAACUAAAUUGCAGCAGCAGUAAGGUAGGAAACUAGAACCUGUUGCAAUUCACGGGGAGAUCAAAGGAUGAUCUACGGUGGUGGAGAUGACGGUGGAAUUUGGUGAUGAUCUUUUAAGCAAUUGUG